rnacentral:rRNA from 1 species
AUUGAACGCUGGCGGCAGGCCUAACACAUGCAAGUCGAACGAGUGGCGGACGGGUGAGUAAUGUCUGGGAAACUGCCUGAUGGAGGGGGAUAACUACUGGAAACGGUAGCUAAUACCGCAUAUCAUCGCAUGUGCCCAGAUGGGAAUAGCUAGUAGGUGGGGUAACGACUCACCUAGGCGACGAUCCCUUGCUGGUCUUAGAGGAUGACAAGCCACAAUGGAACUGAGACACGGUCCCGACUCCUACGGGAGGCAGAAGUGGGAAAUAUUGCACAAUGGGCGCAAGCAUGAUGCAGCCAUGCCGCGUGUAUGAAGAAGGCUUUCGGGUUGUAAAGUACUUUCAGCGGGGAGGCGUUACCCGCAGAAGAAGCACCGGCUAGCGCCGUGCCAGAAGCCGCGGUAAUAC